AGCCCGGUGGUGUAGAGGCCAAGCAUCUCAGCCCCUGGAGCUGGGGACGGCGGUUCGAAUCCGCCCCGGGCUA
rnacentral:tRNA from 1 species